GGGAAACAGGAAGAGGGGCCUGCCUCAGGCCCCUCAACAAACCGAGGCA
rfam:Pan troglodytes isolate Yerkes chimp pedigree #C0471 (Clint) chromosome 1, whole genome shotgun sequence.